UGUAACCCAAUGCAGUGAGUUCACCUCUUAAUGAGUGCAAACCCAGUAAGCACAACCAGGAGGUAAGAGUGGAGAGAGAAUCAUUACUUGCAGCAGACAGGAUCUUGCUAUGCAGCCCAGGCUGACCUCAAACUCAUGGCAAUCCUCCUGCCUCAGCAUCCCAAGUGCUGGGAUCACAGAUUACAAAAUGAAUAUGUCUGUGGAGAGGAGACCACCACACAAGUGGGUGAUGAUGCACAGCCGUAAUCUUCCAACCACAACUCUGCCAUCAGAGACAAUGCCAGUGCUGAGGGACCAUAAUCCCCCCAGCAAAGGUUCCAUGGCAAUAAAAGAAUUCAAGUUCUCUGUAUGUGGAUCCAAAAUAAGGGAUCUUGGUAUGUUGCCCAGGCCAGUUUCAAAUUUGUGAUUCUCACUUUAGCCUUCCAAGUACCUGGGAUUAUAGUUGACCACGCACCAGGUGGAGAACCC
rnacentral:lncRNA from 1 species